UGCCCAAAUUUUGGGCGCUGGUGAUGCUGUCAGGGAGGUUGUUGUAGACGGCAGGCCCCAUGACAUGGGUGAGCUUGGUCGACUUGGUCAACUUGCGGCCCACGCCGACGAGCUUAUGGGCGUUACGGGUAUUGUAGUUGUGUACCAUACUAUGCGUUUUGUAUGCUGUUAGGUUUGACCGCACAUACACAGCCACCUGUAGGAUGACUAUAGCUGGGUCUAGCAGGAGUGUUGUGUGGUACUCGGGCGAUUAUUCUAACCGCGCGCUUCUGGAGACGGAAAACCCUUUCCCACUCAGCACAGCGUCCCCAUAGCUCCGCACCGUACUGGAUCAGCGAGUGCACUGUGGCAAAAUAGCACGAGCGCGCGACCUCAUCUGACACCAGCCUAGUUACCCGUCCUAGAGCAAAACACGCGCUGCCGAUUCUUCCGCUGAGUCUAUUAAUAUGAUGGUCCCACUUUAAACAGGUAUCUAUUUCAAACCCUAGAAAUCCGGUGGUACUUAAUUGGUUUAGAGCGGUCCCAUUUACAGAAACAGCAAGCAGUCUCGUGCUGCGGCCCGACAGGUUGAAAACUAGGUAGUGGGUCUUCUUUAGGUUUAACGCAAGACCAUUGACAUCAAACCACUGUGCAAGCUGCGCCGCGGUUUCGUUUAGUUUUGUUUCGAUCGAAUCCACCGAUUGCGCUGUGACGAUUGCAGCAACAUCAUCGGCGUACAUGAGGAUCUCUGCAGCCUUUAUUGCAUGUGGCAAAUCGUUCAGCAACAAGGAGAAUAAUAUAUUUGACACCGACGAACCCUGGGCUACGCCCAUGGUAGUUUCUAGUGGGUCCGACUUAGCCUUUCCACCGUCUCCGAUCACAAUUUGAGAUCUUUGCUGCAGAAGGCUCUCGAACAAGGAAAGUGUCGGGCCGCCGAUGCCAUAGUGCCUUAGCUUGCUGGUAAGGACUGCAUGGUCUGCGACGUCAAAGGC